UGUUAAAAGCUGAGUUUUAUCUACCGUAUAAUGCAAGUAUUUAUAGGCAAACCCCGUUUUUCCCCGAAUAUAAAUUUAUUACUAAAAAUGAAAAUCAACGGAAAUUAAAUAAAGCUGUGGACAUAAGGUGGCAAUUCUACGAGUUCAUAGAGCAAUUACUUAAAAGUUAUGACUUUGACGGCCAUGACUGUUUAUUACAGGCAAUUUGUAUGGCUAACAAAAUACGGUUCUCUAAGUAUAUUAGUUUUGCCGACGAAAUCUUACAUUUAUUUUUAAGACCAUCUUCAUCCAUUAACACUAAAUCGGAAUGUUCGUAUGACUUUAUCAUCGCAGAGAAGAAGGCACCAGCAAUAAACUGUGAAAAAUAUGUUUGUAAUAAUAACCCACUUAACUGGGUUUCUCGCAAUCUAAUCUAAUAACAUUUAAUAAAUUUGUUGUAUCAAAAUUGUAAAUUUUAAGCAAGCUGUAGUCAAAACAUACAAAAAAUUAUAUUAAAAAAAUUGUUGUUUUAAAUAUUUGCGUUGACCAUUUGCGUUGCAUUGUUUUGAAUAUUCAUACAAUUUUUUAAUUAUACUUAUGUACCACUAUACUUAUGUACCAAAUAAUAUUAAAGAUUUCAUCUUUCAGUUACAA